UGUGCUUGGCUUGCAGGUCGGUGGCGGCCGAAAACGAAGGUGAUUACUGAGAUAGGAGGCUCGGGAGGUGGAGGAUCGGUUCGGGCGAGUUUAGGCUACGAGAUGAAGAAAGUGCGGUAGGGUCGAUACGAAAUCGCGGCUCCGGAUGAUGCCCGAGAUCCACCGCUCGGACUCGUUGAGGUCCACCUUGGAGGCUGGACGGGAACGCAGAAUGCCGGCCGAGAUUUCCGCGGCUGCCGCACCGGCUGGCAAGACCCCCGAGAGGAGCGUCUCCUUCAAUCGGGACGUCCACGUCAAGAGGAUCGGACGUGGCACCCCGAGGGUGACAGCAGCGCUCGUAGGAGAUGGGGAGGGCAGGUUGAUAGCAACCCCAGUGCACAAGGAGAGCAUCACCUCCAGGAGCAAGGAAGACCUAGCCCAGGAGGCAGCCCUGGUGUUGCAGCAGGCCGGAAGUCUGCGUUGCAUCGUGCAGGACGAGAAAUCCCUCCCCGGGAGGUUCAGCACAUUACCUGCCAGGAAGGAAAAAAAGCGUCCCGACCUACCUUUGAAGGUACCUCGCCGCAGGAGCGAGGAAAUUGGAGUGACCACCGAUGAGCUGGUAGGACUCCCACGACCAAAAAAGAAGGCCCUGGAGAGGAGCGUCAGCGAUGCCACCCCGAAGAAGCUGAAGGGUCCGCUGUCAAGGCUCUUCUCCCCAAAAUCCGAACGCAAAGCAAAGCCAGUGAGCAGAAGUGCGAGCGACGCGAGUCGCCCCCAAAGGAAGAGGAGCGGCUCCGAGAGCGAGGGAUCCCACCUGGGUGGCGUGAGGGCGAAGAAACAGUUGUCGCCGAUCAUCGAGGCAUCGCCAAGGGUAGACGAAGCUGGCCAGCAGAAGCAGCCGUUCGAUUUUGGGGCCAACGAGCCUGGAACGACCCUGGUGAGCCAGAGAGUGGAGGAGAGGAGCGAGUCGGUGCUGGAGGAGGUCUGUGCUACCAGGUCGCCGAGGUCCCAGAAGAAGAGCCCGAGCCAUCAGGAAGUCGAAACCGAGGGUGGGAAGGACAGGGAAGGUGAAGAGACCCGGCAGAAGGGUGCGGCUUCACCAGCUAGGCCAGACGUCGACGAGGUGGACAGGGUCGGCGGGGACAUGCUGCACAGCAGCAGGUUCGACCGCCGUGCAGAGGAAUCCACCAUUCACAAGAUGAUCCACCGACUGUCUACCGACCGGUCACCACCACCCCAACUGACCAGGACCAUGGUCUCCCCUAGUCCGGGAUUUGGACACAACAACAACCGGCCGUUUUCCUAUACCCAGCCUAACGAGUCCACCUCGCCGCAUCCUCAGCCUCAGACUGGGGUGAUUUACGCACAGGUGCAGCUGGGCAAGAAGAAGGCCCAGAGGAGCCACUCUGACAGCGACGAAGGCCUAGGGUUGGAGAGGAAGGAUUCCUCCAGGGAGAACAGUCCUGCCGAGAAGGACUACCGCAGGACGGACUUCGCGUAUGGUACCGAACUGAGGCGCAACAACGAGAUCAACAGCUUCAAGUCCCGCUAUGACCAGGACAGAAAGAACGUAACGCAUUUUGGGGACUUCUGCGGCACCAAGGAGUUCCCUCCGAAUAGGACCGUGGACCCGAAAAGGAUGCACGAGUUCGAGACCAUCGACAGGCACCUCUUCGAGAAGCCAGAGAAGUACACGUCCACUGUCUUCGUGGAUGCUUCGAGUAGGGGAAAGGUUGACGGGGUAGAUGCUGCAGGGAGACCUGGUGAAAGAGGGGUUUCCAACAAGACGAGCGAACUCAGCGCCAGGAGGGACCUCCUGGAGUCUAGGAUCAAGUCCAGGCUGUUGGCAGACGAGAUGUUCGCCGCCAAGAGCAACGGCACCACCGGGCUCCCGAAGAAGGUGGAGCACGAGAUCAUCGACAAGCCCAUCGUCCCUUCUCCGGUCAUCCCAAAUCGCGUGUCCUCGCCUAAGCGGUACACCGAUACCUACAUCACGGAGACGAGGACCAACAGCAACGGGGAGAAGUACAUCUUCGAGAAGGAGAUCCACGAGGACAACGGCAAGGUCUACGGUUUCGAGAAGAAGAUCACCAACAAAAUACCAGCGGAUACGUACAUAGACCCGAAACCUAGGGACGGGUACACAGUCGAGACCAGGACGGACAAGUACGGGGACAAGUACCUGGUGGAGACGCGCACCCACCAGAGCUACACCGACGACUUCAAGCCGUUUCUCAGCGACCGGUCGAGGACCAGCCCGGAGGAGAGGUUCCAGUCAAGGGGAAAGACGUCCUAUCACAUGGAAGAGGCACCAGCUCGCUCCAGGAUCGAGACCAAGGACCUCCGCGAGGCCUCGCCCAUCGUCGCCAAGAAGAUCUACGAGCACAAGUUCUCCAGGAGCGAGGACUUCCUGGACCGCGAGUCCAAGCCCCCAAGGGAACCCCACUUUCCAAAGACCAAGAAGAACUUCGAGUCCAUCCGCGGCAUGAGCAAGUCCACCCAACGGCUGGACGAGAUCGGAGAAAACUCUCGAGUCAGGGCGCUGAGGUCAGAGUACGUCUCCAGGUCCCACGAGAACCUCAGCAGCGCCGACUACGCCAACAUCGGGGACCUGCACCUGCCAGCUGGGAGCUCAUCUCCGAUCUCGCCCAAACAAAGACCACAUCGCCUGGAAGACAACCCCAGAGAUCAGCCCAUCGACGACUACGACACGGACAUCUCGCAGAUGACCAACAGCCAGCUGGAGUCCAACUACUUCAAGGAGACUAGAACAACGCAGAGGUACUCGACCAGCAAGAGGGCCCUACACGACGACUACGACAGUUCACCACCGAGGCUGAAAUCCGACCGACCUGGGUAUGGAUCCAGCAGAUACGACUCCGACACCACCGCCAGGGACUCCAUCCGCCGCGAGGCGCGCUACCAGGACGACCCCUCCAGGGUCAGGAAGAAUCUGCACGCGCCCGCGGAGGAGGACCCUAAGAAACCUCUGAGGAGGUCUCGCAACCACCUGGACUACUUCGACGAUUCCGAUGCCAGAGACAGCCCUCGCGGGAACUCCACCAAGAGCCGGCUGGAGACCUUCGACGAGAGCCCUGCCGGCACUCCCAGGGUCUACCAUCACGAGAGCAAGAUCCGCCACACGCGGCACGAGACCCGGGGCUACACCGAACGUCGUCACCGGGAAACCAGGCUCAGCGACCCUGAUCGCAAGGACAGGCUCGCGGAUUCUGGGAUCGAGAACGACUAUAGGCGCGACUCCCAGGAGGCCGAUCGCAGGGAGAACCUCGAGUCCGAGGACGAGGGCUUUGUCACAAUGCGCUUCAUCAAGCACGAGCGCAGACACACCGACAGGAACAUGAGCAGUCCUGGGGAGAAGCGAAAGUACGACAAGUACGCCACCAACAGCGGAAAACCUGCGCCGCUGACCUCCAAGCCACCCACUGGGUUGAUGGCUGGUGACAAGAAGUACGAGAAGAAGGCUGCCAAGAAGAGCGGCACCAUGAGCAAGGUCAAGCAGCUCUUCUCCAAGAAGGAGAAGAAGGUCAAGGAGGAGAAGAGCAAGAGGGGCAGACCUGGGAGCAACGGCGCUCUCACCGAUGACGAGGUCACCAUGAGGUACCGCGAGUAUCGUGGGGAUCAGCUCAGGAGCGCCAAAAGCGCCAGGGACCUCGACAGCGACAUCAACAGGGACGAUUACAGUCAACGACGACGUCUGUCUACUCCCAGCGGAAGUCCCAGCCCGCCUCGACCCGCCAGGUUGUCCCGAUCGACGGGAACCUUGACUCGCGACGAGGAUCACUUUUGUGGGUCCAAAAGCACCCUGACGAGAGAGAACCAAGGCCAAGAGGCAGAAAGGAAGGGAUGGUUCAAGUCCCUCUCCAGAAAGAACAAGACCAACGCUAAGGCCGUCGACAAAAAGCCAAGGAUACCCGAAAGCGAGAUACUGACGACCGGCACCGAGGACGAGGAGGUGUCCUCGACGCCGGAAAGGGUGUCCGUCCAGAAGAACCUCCGCUUCUUCGGCGACACCGACCAGGAAUCCGUCUCGUCCAACCGGGACCGAAAGAGCAAACGAGCCGAGGACCACGUCGACGCGAGGCGCGACGCAACGAAUUCGAGUCGCCACCCUCUGGGGUUGGUCGCACCCCCCAGGAAGCCGCGACUCGCAGAGAGUGCGUUGUCUUCAGGAGAAAGCACGACCGGCGACAGCAGCCAACAGAGCCAGAACUCCCAGCGAUCGCAACGAUCCGUUGUCUAUCUACACGCUCCUACAGAAAUUCCAGUUGGCGACAUCCCGGGACCGAACGAACGACGCAGAGCAGCCAGCCGCGAGGAGUUGAACCGACCCUUGCAGGCAUUCACGAGGACCGUCUCGAGGAGCGUGAGCGUCCUGGCGCCCUGGAAGCCUCGGCACUACCGGGAGCCCUUCGAGAUCAACUACGACCAACAGCAGCAGCACCACCACCAAAAGCCCGUCUCGACGAUGCGACGCAAACAGCGCAGUCGCGAAACGCUCAAUCGACGCGGAAAGGAAGCCCGACGAAGCAAGGACAACCUGGCGAAAACCGGAACGAUCAGUCGCAGCACCCUAAAGUCGCAGGAGAAGCAGAAGGUGGACCGGACGAUGUCGACGGAGUCGCUGGCCAACAAGUCGCGGACUUCCGGUUCCCGGCCGGAACUCGGCAGGUCCACUUCCGUGCCGCGCGACCCGAACAAGGGCGCCGGCUGGUUCAAACUGAAAAGCGGCAAGAAAUCCAGGGCCUGAGCCCACAGGCCAUUGACCAAUGCUAGUCUUGAGUUCUCACGAGUAACUCGCGCUCGAUCGCGCCCGCCGAAUUGAGCAAGCCCCGUCGUAACACCCCACGAAAGGGUUCCGCUCGCCCCUUGCGACAAUUACCCCAACAAGCUUAAUCGACUACAGUCCAUAGUCGCAAUUCCGCCGAUUAACUGGAUUCGAGGAAAACCGGGAACGUUUACGAUAUUUACAGAGCCGUUUGACGCGAGCGAAAGAUGGCGGCGCCGCUAGUCGGUGCUGCCAUCUGUGGGAGGCACCCGAAACCCACUCGCCAAUCCACCAUUUUCUCGGCCGGAACGACAUUUUCCCGAACCUACUUUCCGGUUGUUGGAUUUCUUCGCGGUGAUCGAAAGUUCCAGAGCUUACUAGCGGUGGAGCGUUCUUUUACGGUGGAAUUUGAAAUCUUUCAGUAAAUUAGGGACCUCGGGAAACGCGGGAACGGAGUUGGACCGUGGUUCGAUAGAUGGCGGCACGCGUCAUCUUCCGACCGCUGCCCCGCCACGUUUGAAACUUCCCGCGGGAAUCUUAAAUGACCGAUAAUGAGAGACCGCUUUCUAAUCAAUUGCUCCGAAAUUACUUGUCGAUCUCUUCGAUCGAUCGAUUCUACCGGGAAAUAUCGCAUGUUCUCGUUCGAACGGUAUCGCCACUCAGUGGAAGAGCGACCUGCAAUAUCUAACAUUCCUAAAAUGCCAUUUUACACACGUAAUAAUUUGCAACCGUAAACACUGCGACUCACGCUUCCCCCGGUGCGACAGAGUCUCACGCCAAGUGCAGAUAUUAAUGCAAAACUAUGCAGACACUUGUACGAAGAACCGAAGCGAGUCUGGCGACACUCAGACCGGGCUUUCUUUAGAAAUAAAACUGUAACGUUGCGACCUCGAGUCAACUGCAUGCAGGAAAUAAUAAAUUACUUAUACUUACAAGUAUCUAACGAGAACACGUCAUUGCCAAGCGAUAAUCACGGUGUCUUGAGAAAUGAGAAACACGGAACUACGAUGCAUGAGACCUUAGAGUCACGAUAUUUACAUAGCCUUCUCUCUGCAGGAUUUAUUUACGUAAAUUUGGCGUGUACGAUGAGAACGCAUUCGACAACUACGUGGGCCACAAUGUUAACGAUAGAGAGGGAACUCUUCUGGGCAUUUAAUGUACCUAGAAGGUACGUUGCCAUUCCAGUAAUGAACCUUUCGAACACGUUCACGGUUCGUCCCGACUCGAACCUCUUUCCUAAAAGAAAAAAGUAAUGAAACGAACCGUUCGCAUCGAAGAAGUACGAACGCGAAGAUACCGUACUUAUUUUUCUUUUCAACUUACCAUGAGUCACUGUGCCAUUCCUGCCCUUCUAUGUCGACAGUAUUAUUACUUUGAACUUAAUCAAAAUUACCGAAGCAACAAAAGUUCUACUACUAGAAGAUUAUUAAUAUUCGGAUAUGCAUAACAAUUUGCGCUGACUCUGUGCCAAUUGACUGUGAAUUUAUGCAUGCGACGGCUCACAAAUGAAUUUGGAUGCCAUAACUGCAACACCGAUUCUGCAAGAGUAUGUAAAUUGAAUGAUUAAGUUGUGAGAGCGAGAGUGUAAUGCGGAACGUGUAUUUUCAUAUGUACCGAAUUGGCUAACACGAUUAAUAGAGAACUCACUGCGCUCCAACUUCAAGCUCUUUUUGGUGCUAUUUACAUGUGUAUAUAUAAACCUUUAACUUAGAUUUGCAUGUAAAUAUCAUAGAUAUAAAGAUACUUUGGCCAGACAUAUUGAUACUUAUAGGUGGGUGGUCGUCAAAGUCCGGACGAUACCAAGGAUGAGAUCGUUGAAAAGUAUAAUUUCAAAACUAUGCCAUUCCGCGAGCAACCCACUCAGUGUCGUUAAUUAACCUAGCUCUUAACGCUGCUAAAUAUAAGCCAAUGUUACGUGCACACAAGUGCAAUCUUUGAAACAAAUUAUAUUUUGUAACACUAUUGAAUAAUUUGAAAUAAAUAAACGUAAUACCAAG